rnacentral:tRNA from 1 species
UCCCCUGUGGUGUAAUCGGCAGCACAGUGGUUUUUGGUGCCACUUGUCCAGGUUCGAGUCCUGGCGGGGGAG